ensembl:lncRNA
GCUACCUGGGUCUCCUCUGUGAGCUCCCUACCUGCCGACCUGAGGAAGUGGAACGUUAGCUUGACCACGGAGGGAGGGGCGUAAUGUUUCAAGGAAGAAGGAGAGCAAGCAGAUGAGGAGAAUCCGGUACCCGAAGAGUAUCGGUACUGACAUGAGGAAACAUUGCAGCCAAUUAAGAUGCUAUAUAGAAGUUUUUGAUAACAUGCGGAAAUGUAUCCAAUUGUCCCAGAAACACUAAGAGAAGAGGUGUCUGGAGCAGGAGUAGGAGCAUUCCAGUAACUCUUAACUAUCAGAAAGUGAACAGCUGGCUCACUUGAGAAGACCCCGAUGCUUGGAAAGAUUGAAGGCAAAAGGAGAAGGGGAAAGCAGAGGAUGAUGUGGUUAGAUAGCAUCACUGACUCAAUGGACAUGAAUCAGAGCAAAUUCCGGGGUGAAGGACAGGGAAGCCUGGUGUGCUGCAGUCCAAAGAGUUGGACACGACUUAGCGACUGAACAACGACAAUUAAAAAGACUUCAAAUUGUGUAGUUUUGUGAUUUACAAUGUUGUGUUAAUUUCAGGUUUACAUCACAGUGAUUGAGUUAUACAUAUAUUGAAUCUUUUUCAGGUUCUUUACCCACAUAGGUUAUUACAAAAUACUGAGUAGAGUUUCCUGCGCUAUACAGUAGGUCCUUGUUGGUCUGUUGAUGGACAUUUAGGUUGCUUCCAUGUCUUGGCUAUUGUAAACAGUGCUGCAGUGAACAUUGAGCUGCAUGUAUCUUUUCUUUUUUAAUUAAUUAGAGUAUGGCUGCUUUACAGCGUUGUUAGUUUCUACUGCACAGCAAAGUGAAUCAGCUAUACAUAUAUACAUAUAUCCCCUCUUUUUUGGCUUUCUUUUCCAUUUAGGUCACCCACAGAGCACUGAGUAGAAUUCCCUGAGCUAUACAGUGUUCUCAUUAGUUAUCUAUUUUAUGCACAGUAUCAGUAGUGUAUAUAUGGCAAUCCCAAUCUCCCAAUUCAUCCUACCUCCCAUCCCCCUUGGUGUCCAUACAUUUAUUUUCUACAUCUAUGCCUCUAUUUCUGUUUUGUAAAUAAGAUCAUUUGUAC